UAAAGACCUAUCAGAUCAACAUCUAUUCACAAUACCUCAUAAACAAGGUCUGCAGAUGUGAUGAAAUAGAAGACAAUAGGGAAAAAAGAGUCUAGAUGGAAGUAAGGAGGAGGCAAAAGAAAGGAAGGUAACUCACAUUGUUCCAACAAUUCUGGUGCUUAUGUGGGUGUUCUCCUCUUCGUUGAGCUUGGUCAAACCAAAGUCAGAGAUCUUAGGGUUAAGGUCCCUAUCAAGCAACACAUUAGUAGCUUUGAUGUCUCUAUGAACAACUUUCAGAGUUGAUUCCUCAUGCAAGAAAGCCAGACCUCUUGCCAUGCCAACACAUAUUUUCUGCCUUGCGGACCAGUCCAAUUUUAACCGACCAUCCACAGGGCC